rnacentral:rRNA from 1 species
AACGAACGUUAGCGGCGCGCUUAACACAUGCAAGUCGAGCGAGAAAGGGCUUCGGCCCCGGUAAAGCGGCGCACGGGUGAGUAACACGUAGGUAAUCUACCUCCAGGUGGUGGAUAACGUUCCGAAAGGAACGCUAAUACAGCAUAAGACCACGGCUUCGCGAGGAGCAGAGGUCAAAGCGGGCCAAUACACGUAAGCUCGCGCCAGGAGAUGAGCCUGCGGCCCAUCAGCUAGUUGGUAGGGUAAUGGCCUACCAAGGCGAAGACGGGUAGCUGGUCUGAGAGGAUGAUCAGCCACACUGGAACUGAGACACGGUCCAGACUCCUACGGGAGGCAGCAGUGGGGAAUCUUGCGCAAUGGGCGAAAGCCUGAUGCAGCGACGCCGCGUGAGUGAUGAAGGCCUUCGGGUUGUAAAGCUCUGUGGAGGGGGACGAAUAAGUUUCGGUUAACACCCGGAGCGAUGACGGUACCCCUUUAGCAGGCACCGGCUAACUCUGUGCCAGCAGCCGCCGUAACAC